GAUGAACGCUGGCGGCGUGCCUAAUACAUGCAAGUCGAGCGAACAGAUGAGGAGCUUGCUCCUCUGACGUUAGCGGCGGACGGGGGAGUAACACGUGGAUAACCUACCUAUAAGACUGGGAUAACUUCGGGAAACCGGAGCUAAUACCGGAUAAUAUAUUGUACCGCAUUGUUCAAUAGUGAAAUACGGUUUUGCUGUCACUUAUAGAUGGAUCCGCGCCGCAUUAGCUAGUUGGUAAGGUAACGGCUUACCAAGGCAACGAUGCGUAGCCGACCUGAGAGGGUGAUCGGCCACACUGGAACUGAGACACGGUCCAGACUCCUACGGGAGGCAGCAGUAGGGAAUCUUCCGCAAUGGGCGAAAGCCUGACGGAGCAACGCCGCGUGAGUGAUGAAGGUCUUCGGAUCGUAAAACUCUGUUAUUAGGGAAGAACAAAUGUGUAAGUAACUAUGCACGUCUUGACGGUACCUAAUCAGAAAGCCACGGCUAACUACGUG
rnacentral:rRNA from 1 species